GAAGAAACACAUACCAAUUAUAAUGUACAUUAGCAAUACCUUUAUCACAAGCAGGGUACAUGAUAUUGCUUAAGAUUCCCCAUACAGAAGACUGAUUUCCUAGCUUAUCAUACACAAAAGUGGUAAAUCCGAAGCUAGCUACGAUAAUUAGGCAACAUAAGAACUAGCAAAGUAGAUAGAGACUUGCACAUCAUCUCAACUCCACGACUUGGGACUUCCUUCUCACAUUUCAAAGAGGUCUUGCCCUGGAUCACUACCACCAGUCAUCAGCUCCAUUCCCAGCGUCACCGUCGUAGUAGCCAUUGUCAAAGCCCCCCGCAGCGUCGUCGUAGUAGUCACCACAAACCCCGGUAUCAUCAUUAUUGCCAGCCCCGCCAUGGUCGCCAUAGUUGUGAUCACCACCACCGCAAUCAUCGUAUUUUGCAUACGGGGUGCCCCCUUCCACGUCAUCACCGUUGAUGAGGUCACCACAAACCCUGGUAACAUCAU
rnacentral:lncRNA from 1 species